AAGUUGAGAAAAGGAAGAAAAAAAUGCUGAAUUAAAGGAUUUUUUAUACUGGGAGGCUACAACCUUGACCAAACCUGUAACCCGAGGCGAUGGGGAGAUAAGAUAGAUUUUGCCACCUAAGCAAGGAUAAGAUCAGCUUCAAGUGGAGUCAAAUUGAAUCAAACUCAAUCAGAUGAGGAUAAAGAUCAUAUUAGGAUAGAGAUAA
rnacentral:lncRNA from 1 species